GGCACAUUGUUUGUGCUAAGGAACGGAAAAGGUGCCAUUAAGUGACCUGAUUCAGCACAGGGUGGCUCUGUAUCCUGUCUCCACUGCUUACUCCCUGUGUGACCUUGGGCAAGUUGCUUCACCUCUCUGGCCUUAGUGGCUUCCUGCAAAAUAGGACUAAUAAUAGCAUUUACCUCUUAUCGUCCGUCCUUUGAUGGUCAAAUCAGUCAUGACAUGUAAAGUGCUCCCAGGAGUGCUUGGCACAUAGGAAGAGCUCAGUUCUCACGAGCAGCUGGAUAUCAGCCAUGUGCACCCUGGUGAGGAUGCUCAUCAGCCAGAGUCCUGAGAGCACAAAAGAGAUCAUCAGGGGAAGGUGUCUGCCCCAGAUGUCAUAGAAACCCCCGGGAGCCAGAAUUGCCAUUUGAAGCGGCUCUGGAAGGAAGCGUGGUUUCCCUAGGUGGAGAACGGGCGCUUCGGUGUAUGCAAAGGGAAGGAGAAAUGACAGCAGUUACAGUCAACUCUGCUAUGCAAACGUUGGGGGCUACAAACGAGAUCUGCAGGGGCAUGAACCCAGCUGCCCAUGGCUGUCCCUGGGCCUCCCCUUUAGUGAGAAGAUGAGAGACUGCAGACAACAGUAGGUAUUACAUUACAAUACAAGACAUCAUAUUAGCCCAAUUUCAUGAUUGAGGAAAAUGAGCAACAGAGAAGUCAAGUGCCUUGAUGAGGUCACACAGCCAGGAAGUAGCAGAGGUGGGGUUUGGAUACCAGCAGGCUAGCUGCACGGCCCCUGCUUUGAAGCACUUAUGAAAACUGCCUCUGGACUCUUGGGUGUUCAAUGGUCCCUCUGUCACCCAGUUUAGUCCUAAUUUGGCUCCACAGAGUCUUCCUCCCUGGACGGUACAAAGGCCCAUGCCGGCCGAGAGUCACAUCUAGGUCUUUUUGUAAGGGAUCUACGCCAGCAGAUCUUUCUAGGCCCUUGUUAGUUUCCCCUGAGGCUUCCCCCUGCUCCUCACCCUCCCUGCCCAGGCCCCCAGCCCUGCCGCUCCUUUGUGGGGAUCAUGGCACCCGUGGCCAGCUCGGCUCUGGGGAACCGUGAUUCCACUCACCCUGCGGAAAGCCACCCACUGCGUCCUGCCCGCACGCCACGUCCUCCCCAAACAGCUGAGCCUGUGCAAUGUGAGAGGGGAGACGCUUGCCAGAGGUUUCCGGAAAGCAUCCAGAGGUCACUCUGGGCUGGCUCAAGUGGAUCGGGCCCUGACCACUGCUCUGAAUAGGCACUGUCCCACCCUGGGGCCACUCCCUCAGCACCAGAGCAGGCUAAUUGAUGGGUGGGGAGGUGUGGAGGGCUGGAAGCUGGUUUGCAGCUGAAGGAGGCAAGAGGGGAGCCAGGCAUUUGACUCAGCAGCUGACAAAUAUGAGAUGCCAAGAGAAGGUGGAGGGGAGCAUCCAGAUCUUCAGCCCCAAACUGCCUGCCCAGGCCCAGACCCCAUCUACACACCCAACCCAAUCUCUACAGCCGGCCUACCCACCCCCCUCCCUAACCAGCAAGCCCCUUACCUCCCAUGCCACCAUCGACCCUCUCAGCCAAUACCCAACCCACCCAGCGCUCAGAACACACACUCCCCACCCCCACCUGCUCUCACAAUACUCACCCUGCUCAGCUACAGCCUGGGGUGUGUGCUUCCCAUCUGGCUACCCAAGUGAACACCCUACUUAGGGCAUCUCUGGCCCACACCCACUCAGCCUUCACCAGGCCUAUCUCUCUCUGAUGCCCAG
ensembl:lncRNA